rnacentral:rRNA from 1 species
UACGGAGGGGGUUAGCGUUGUUCGGAAUGACUGGGCGUAAAGCGCGCGUAGGCGGGCGGUCAAGUCGGGGGUGAAAUCCCGGGGCUCAACCCCGGAAUGGCCUUCGAUACUGGCGGCCUAGAGUUCGAGAGAGGUGAGUGGAAUUCCGAGUGUAGAGGUGAAAUUCGUAGAUAUUCGGAGGAACACCAGUGGCGAAGGCGGCUCACUGGCUCGACACUGACGCUGAGGUGCGAAAGCGUGGGGAGCAAACAGGAUUAGAAACCCCCGUAGUCC